rnacentral:rRNA from 1 species
GACAGAGGUGCCAAGCGUUAGGCGGAAUCACUGGGCUUAAAGCGUGUGUAGGCGGAAUUGUAAGUACCUUGUGAAAUCCCACGGCUCAACCGUGGAACUGCUCGGUAUACUGCUUUUUCUUGAGCCACUUAGGGGCUGUCGGAACAAAACGGUGGAGCGGUGAAAUGCGUAGAUAUCGGGAAGAACACCUAUGGCGAAGGCAGCUCUCUGGGACGGUACUGACGCUGAGACGCGAAAAGCGUGGGGGAGCGA